GGUGGGUGGAACUGCACUUCUUCCUCUCCUAUGCUCUUCCUGCUAUGUACUAUGGAAAAAAUCAAAAUCAAGAGGUAAUCACUCACAAAGAAUGGAAUACAAUAUGCUCUUAUAUGAACUUGGUGAAGGGAGAAAACACCAGAAAGAUGGAAACAUAAACAAUGAGUUGCAGUUAUUCAGUUUUGAUACCAUUGCUACUGCUACCAACUGUUUCUCAUCAACAAACAAGCUAGGAGAAGGUGGAUUUGGAUCAGUUUAUAAGGUACAAUUUCUACUAUACACUAUAAUCUGUCUAUUGACUCUAUUCAUCAUUUCAUCUAAAUAAGAAGAUGCAGAGAAGAUCCACAGCAGGGACAUGCUAAUGCCUAGGAUCCACAACAGGGACAUGCUAAUCGGAUUUGAACUGAUUCAUUCCUUUUGUCUUUUUUUUAAACAAAACUGAUUCAUUCUUAGGAGGUUUGAAAAUCACUUGCCUAAUUUUAGGGAAAGCUACUUGAUGGGAGAGAAGUAGCAAUAAAGAGACUUUCAAGAAGCUCAGGACAAGGGCUGGUGGAGUUCAAAAAUGAAGCUUUGCUUGUUGCUAAACUCCAACACACUAAUUUGGUGAGGCUUUUAGGAUUCUGCAUUCAAGGAGACGAAAAAAUAUUGAUCUAUGAGUAUAUGCCAAACAAAAGCUUAGAUUUCUUCCUCUUCGGUAGGCGUCCAAAAUUUCCUUCAAAUUUUUUGUAGAAGCUAUUUCUAUUUCUAACUCCUGCGCUAAUUGAUUACAGUUAUAUAACAAUUUUCCCUGACAGAUGCUGAAAGAAAAAAUUUCUUAGAUUGGAAGAAACGCUUCAGCAUCAUAGAGGGGAUUGCUCAAGGACUAAUCUAUCUUCAUAAAUACUCAAGACUAAAAGUGAUUCACAGGGAUUUAAAAGCCAGCAACAUUUUACUCGACAAGAAUCUAAAUCCUAAAAUAUCAGAUUUUGGCAUGGCUAGGAUAUGUGGGUUGCAUGAGUCAGAAGAAAACACAAAUAGAGUUGUUGGAACAUAGUAAGUACUAAGUGCUCACACAUCUGUUUGCACUUUGCAUAUACCCACAUAUUUCAAAUGCCUAAUUGUCUUUUUAAUAUCACUGCAGUGGUUAUAUGUCUCCGGAGUAUGCCAUGAAAGGUAUUGUUUCCAUAAAAACUGAUGUUUUCAGCUUUGGAGUCCUUCUACUGGAAAUUGUAAGUGGAAAGAAGAAUAAUAGCAACUACCAUUCAAAGUCCCAACUCAACCUCAUUGGAUAUGUAAGUUCUCUUGUUCAAACAAGUUGUUUAUCAGAUAUCUGGCAUAGUAUGUAAUUAUGUAUACACUUACCUCAGUCUGAUCCAUCUGUAUCAAGAAUAGGCAUGGCAAGGGUUUAACAAUAAGACAUGUAACCUACUUGUUUUAGGCAUGGCAGCUUUGGAAUGAAGAUAGAGGAUUUGAGCUAGCAGACCCAGGAUUAGAUGAAUCGUGCCCCAUGACUGAAGUUCGAAGAUGCAUUCAUGUGGGUCUUUUGUGUGUACAAGACCAUGCAGAAGACAGGCCAACAAUGCCAGAUGUUGUUUCCAUGCUUGCAAAUCAAAACAUUCUAUUACCUCCUCCUAAGCAACCAGCAUUUUUUAUAAAUAGAGCUGAGAAAGAGUUUAUAGAGACAUCUGGAAAAGAGUCCGGAAGUUUCUCCACAAAUGAUGUAACUAUAUCAGAAAUGGAAGCACGAUGAAUGCAGUUGUAAGUUGUAACUACUAAUUACUGUACUAUAUAUGAAUCCAUGUUACAGAGAUGAUUGUUAAAUGGUGAAAUGUGAAUGAGCAACAAUUGAUAGACAGAUUAGGGGUUAAAAUUUUUGUCAAGGUCAUCAUAUAACUAAUAAAGGUACUGAAGAAACGACUUACUGCAAGUAGCUUGCACUGCAACAUGCAGCAGCAGUCUCUAGAUUUGGUGCUUCCAAGCAGCUACACCAAAGGAGCAAAGGCCAUCAUCACAUGAUAGAGCAGAAGUCACAGUAAAGAUACUUGAAUAAUU
rnacentral:lncRNA from 1 species